CGCUGGUUCCUUCAUUUCGCUGAAUGUAUUCUCAACAUGGGAUGUGCAUCUAAGUUAUGAAGCAUAACAAUUAAAUAACAUCCAUAAACCCAUGACCUCAUGCAGUAUGAAACAUUUCUAGUCCUGUGGAAGCUACAGGACUGCUGGAAUUUCUUCUCUGAUCCAGUCCCCUUGCUUCGCAACAGAGGUUCCUGCUUCUCCACGCCAAUGACAUGGUGAGAGAAUACAGGGGGAGCUGAAGACAAACAACAUAAACUUAUGUUUGCAAAGCACCUUUUACUCUGUGAAAUAAAGUGAGUGCAAGCAGUAA
rnacentral:lncRNA from 10 species